rnacentral:rRNA from 1 species
UACGUAGGGUGCGAGCGUUGUCCGGAAUUAUUGGGCGUAAAGAGCUCGUAGGCGGUUUGUCACGUCUGCCGUGAAAACCUGGGGCUCAACCUCGGGCGUGCGGUGGAUACUGCCGGGCUAGAGGACGGUAGAGGCGAGUGGAAUUCCCGGUGUAGCGGUGAAAUGCGCAGAUAUCGGGAAGAACACCCGUGGCGAAGGCGGUUCUCUGGGACGGUACUGACGCUGAGACGCGAAAGCGUGGGGAGCGAACAGG